UAUACGCUGUGAGAGCAUGCGUAGCCACGGGGUGGUACCUGGGGCCACACUGUGCUGUUAGAGGGCAUAAGACCCGUGGGAUUUGCGGAGGCCACAUGGGUAGACGGAAACAGGACUGGCCCGGGGCCUGGCGCACCUCUGGAACUCCAGCCAACUUCAUGUAUAAGAAAGCCUGGAACCCGUACUUCUAUCAGGAGUCAGAUGAACGAGAAUGAAGAGCUCACCUUCGGAACAGACCUGGCUCCUAGAAACUGCCCCAAAAGAUGACCUGAGAAACUAAGAACUUCAGCUUUCAGACCAACCCUUCACACAGGAUGUCAGUUUUAUACUGUCUUGUCUUCACAGCUACAAUGAAAAAUCUCCUGAUGGUUCCUGAAGAUCACUUUUACUACAGAGUCUUCCUUCUCUUCUCCUGGAUUCUGAGUGGUUCGAUCUAUACUGCUGAACACCUGGAAGGCAAGUAAUCAGUGCUUGUUAACAUCUUCCAGGAAGAGAGUUUGUCAGAAAAAGCCCACGUCUUUGCACAAAAAAACUUCAGAGUAUGACUCAAGUCUGAACUGGAAUCGUGUGCAGAGAAAGUAGUUUGCUAGGUUGUUUACUUGAAUCCUGAGAGGCAGUGGCUGUGUGUGUGCAUCCCCACCCACUCACCACAUCGCAUUGUACCUGCAAAUAAAAUCUGCAGAUACACUGGGUUCUCUAGACCUGAGGAUCAGUGCACAUCUCAGAUUACUACUUAACCAUGAGGUCAAUCAGAAAAGAAAAUAAUGGAGAAAAAGCCUUCAUGGCCACCAGUCGCAAGGAGGAAGGAGAAAAAUGAAUUGGAAGUGGCAGCAAAGAGAAGAAUACAUCAUCUGUUCCGAGUCUUGGGCAGGGUGAGUGGUGAGCAGGGAUGCAGAACGUCUCUGGUCAUGAGAGAUGGAAGUAUUUGCUUGGCUUACAAAUCACAGUCGCAGGCUGGCUGCUUCAAAGGCGAAGGGGCUCCGCCCACUUGAAGCUGUGGAAACUGUCAGGUUGGAAGCCCAGUGCAGGAAGCACACACCUCUUACUGACUCUGCCUAUGGCUGCUCUCAUGGGAAUGGCACUCUCAUAAUCUACUGGGAUUGGGAGGAAGAUGGCCAAGAACAGGGGAAGAAGGAAAAGGAAAUAGUAGCCAAGGACAAGAGGGGAACAGUGUGUGGGGGUGGGCUUUGAUGGGCCAGAGCGCAGGACCUGGUCUAAGCCUGCACUAGGAUUAGCUGCUACCUUCUGCAGGGAAGUCCCUACCUCUGGGCUGGGCUGUGUCUGUAAACAGGGAGGGCAGUGCUGGGCAAAAUGCUGAUGCCCUCUAGGUAAUCACUUAGGAAAAGCGACAGAGCACUUUAACAUCACGACAUGCAGUAGAAAAGCUAAACGCUACUCACGCAAAAUGCCAUGGCAACAGAAAAUAUGUAGCUAGUGAGACAAAGGGGAGGUAGGCUUCCCUCAAGGUUUAUUUCUAGGGCUCCACCUUGUCUCAAAACUAUCAGUUUUCUUUGCUUUUUCUCCCUAUUGCUAUCAACAAGAAAGCGCCUUUCUCAAGCACCAAUCUUAUGAGCCUCCACCACUUCCAAAAUUCUAGCAUGGCUUCCUUCUGCUUUUCCCCACAACUUACAGUGUGUCUUCCUGAUUAUGAGACUUUCCCAUUCCCCAAGGAGCUGGCCCUAAGCAUCCUUGUGUGCCUCGAGCUUUGAGGCUGCUCUGUGCCCGGCACAGGGUGAAGAGCACAGUUCUCAUUCCAAGAGGAAAGAGAUGGGGUGGGGCCUCCACAGCCCGACUCGUGAGCUAGGACGGGGGCUGUGCAAGGCCAGGUCGUCGUGGCAAUGGCUACCACAGGCUCCAAAGAGCGGACUCUGCACACCAGGCUAUGCCUCUGAGAGAAAAGGACUAACUGCAGAGAGACAGAAACAUAACAUUCACAGCGAGGUCGGGAGCCUGCACCAAGUAGGGGCGAGGGUCACUCUUCCUAAACAGGAUUUUUAGGCACAAGAGGCCUCAGACCCCCAAAAGCGCGGGGGAUUUACAAUCCUGUCCAGACGUUGCAAGGGUGCCAGCCGUCUGGCUGGUGGCAGGUCCUCCGAGACCGACCUGGGCGCAUGCCACACUUACUUUUG